ensembl:lncRNA
UGACUGACUGCUUCAUUUCCACUUUAAAUACUACCACUACAUCUACCUAUACUAUGGCUACAUCUAAACAGUUUAUGUUAUAGUUGAAUAGUUAACAUGCUAAAUGUUGCUUACAGAUUCAAUUAACAAAAUACAAGAAAAGUGGGAAAGGUCAUGUGUAACAUCAGACCUAAACACAGACAAAGAACAUGAAGUUACAACUUUACAACAAUGAAGGAAACCAAAAGGUCUCAGGUCACCAUCACCCUCAUCAACAUCAUCACUUCCAUCAGAGGAAGAUGACCAUUUGGCAACCUUACAAGAAAAUUGCCUGCCCAAAACACCAAAAAGGAUUCAUCGACUCCCUUCCAGAAACCUAA